GGACCAGAUUACUGAGGGGUAUUGAUUUGCCUUGCCCCCUGCCCCCACCAUCACAGGGUGUCCCUGUCUGGGGUUGGUGCUCUGUGGCAUUGCUUGUGUCCCUAGGAGUCCAUCAAGGCAGAGCUGCAAGUACCAGAUCAGCUUCCAGGUCUUCCAGGCUGCAUGUCCCCCUCAAUGUCCUUUCAGCCCAAUGGAAAUGGCUUGAGAGAGUGAAAGUCACUGAUCUCAAAGAAUCUACAGAAUUCAGCAUUUUGAAAAUCACAUAGCAAUUUGGGAUAGGCAUUCACAUGCACUAAUAAACCAGGCAAACAUCCGACUCCCAGGACAAAGUGAUGGAGAGCAUUAGAAGGCUUGUUGAGCCUUAAGGAAUAAGGGGAAAAUCAUGCUAUGAAGUGCAGGACCAGCACAGACCCAGAGGAGGGGAUGCAGCCUGGAGCCAGCAACCCAGCACCUCCUUCUCCCCAGGACGCAGCGCUGACUGAUCCCCGGAUGUCCGUAGUCACACGUCCCAGGUCCUGAGAGCCCUUCAAAGAUGGACAGUUCUUUGGGAAUUUUAGGACGCAGCACUUGAAGACAGGUUUACCUAAACUUUCCUCCUGGGAGCCUGUGAUCAUUUGAAAGUAACAGAAGAAAGUUGUCAGGCUGAGCAAACAGUUUCAACAGGCACGUGGUGAGAAUGGGAACCAUCCCUUCAUUGCGAAAUCGCGGGGACAGAGGAGGAAUUCACGGGAUCAGAGCACUGAAAAACUCCAGGGGCUUCUGGUUCACCGCCCUGAUUCCACAGAUGAGGAUCAGAGGCAGAGGUGGAAGCUGGAAUGGACAAGCCUGCCCACUCCUCGGCUCUCCAUGGCUCUGUGCUCAGUCUGUUUCUGCAAUUUGACAUGAGGCCUGGCCCUCGGGAAAGCAGCGGGGCCUCAUCUCCUCCCUGUGCUGCUCUGAGAUGGAGCCUUCUCAGGGUCAGCCCAGCUCUGGAGCACCUCUCCAGCUGGGUCACCAAAGCGGUCUGGUCCCAAGGCGGUGCUGAGUGACAGGCACGCCACCCAAUCCAAUCGGCCAUUUCAUACCUAGUGCAUGUGACUGAUAAAGAUUUAACGCCCUGUCUCCAAGACACAGGCUUUACACAAACAGCUUUAACGACCUCUUCACUUAGAGACCAGACUCCUUAGUGGUGGAACCUCAGGCAUCCGUGCAGGAUGUAAGAAAGCUCCCGUAUAUACGUGAACUGAGAAGUGUGCAGAAGAAUAAAUACUGUAAUAGAUAAUAAAAUGUAUGUGUUUUUAUUUAUAUGCUACUUUCUCUUUCUCCCUCUCUCUGUAUAUAUACAUACAUACAAAAAUGUAUUCAUUCUAUGGAAAACAUGAAAGAUGUCAUAUUAUUUACAUCUGAAAUUUUAAUUAAUGUAUUUUUUCUGAUCAUAUGACCACCACAAAUAUAGUUUUAUAAUGUUUUUACUUAACAAGAAGUCUUAAACAUAAAUAUAUACGGACAAUAUUGUAGUUUUUUAAAAAAAUUCAUAUCAUAAUUAAAGUGGUUGUGAAACA